rnacentral:lncRNA from 1 species
UCUCAGUGAUUGAUGUUUAUCCUUGUGCCUCUUUCCCCCCUCCAAAAAAUCAAAUACCAUCAAAACCGAGAGUCCAUCAGACCCCAGAGACCUGAGGAUAAACCGUAGUAAGGCAGCACGUGACUGUCCUUCCCCUCCUGCCUAAGAUGCCACGUUAAGGAAACAGUCAAGGGCAAUUUCACUCACCCUUGGAAGGAAUCACGGUGGUGAAAACUUCUAUGUUCUCGUCACUGCAGCUGUAAAUCUGAUGCAUCAUUUCAGCCUCCUCUUCCCGAAGUGCCUGGGAGCUGGAGGCCUCUGUCUCUGGACCCCUAGUCGCGAGGCAUCCUAAUCCAGUCUGGCUCAGGGAUCAUUGUGCGGGUCCACAAAAGACAGGCUGGUGCUAUGAGCUCAUCUCGUUCCAGUCUUCACUGCAACAUUUUCUAAACCCAUCUGUCCUUUUUUUUUUUUUUUUNNNNNNGUUUUCAGUUUCUGUUCUGUGUUAAUUUGCUUAGGAUAAUAUCCUCCAGCUGCAUUGCAUCCAUGUUGAUGCAAAGGACAUGAUUUUUUUUUUUUUUUUUUUUAGUCUCACUUCAUUGCCCAGGCUGGAGUGCAAUGGCGUGAUCUCAGCUCACUGCAACCUCCGCCUCCUAGGUUCAAGCGAUUCUCCUGCCUCAGCCUCCGAGUAGCUGG